UUCCGGUUGAUCCCGCCGGACCUGACUGCUAUCGGAUUGAUACUAAGCCAUGCGAGUUUUUGUAGCAAUACAAGGCAGACGGCUCAGUAACACGUAGUCAAUCUAACCUAUGGACGAGGAUAACCUCGGGAAACUGAGAAUAAUACUCGAUAGAUCAUUAUGCCUGGAACGGUUUAUGGUUCAAAUGAAAUUCGCCAUAGGGUGGGACUGCGGUCUAUCAGCUUGUUGGUGAGGUAAUGGCCCACCAAGGCUAUAACAGAUACGGGCUCUGAGAGGAGAAGCCCGGAGAUGGGUACUGAGACACGGACCCAGGCCCUAUGGGGCGCAGCAGGCGAGAAAACUUUGCAAUGUGCGAAAGCACGACAAGGUUAAUCCGAGUGAUUCCUGCUAAAGGAAUCUUUUGUUAGUCAUAACACCACUAAUGAAUAAGGGGUGGGCAAGUUCUGGCGUCAGCCGCCGCGGUAAAACCAGCACCUCAAGUGGUCAGGAGGAUUAUUGGGCCUAAAGCAUCCGUAGCCGGCUUUGUUAGUUUUCGGUUAAAUCUAUAUGCUCAACAUAUAGGCUGCCGGAAAUACUGUAAAGCUAGGGAGUGGGAGAGGUAGACGGUACUCCGUAGGAAGGGGUAAAAUCCUUUGAUCUAUGGAUGACCACCUGUGGCGAAGGCGGUCUACCAGAACACGUCCGACGGUGAGGGAUGAAAGCUGGGGGAGCAAACCGGAUUAGAUACCCGGGUAGUCCCAGCUGUAAACUAUGCAAACUCAGUGAUGCAUUGGCUUGUGGCCAGUGCAGUGCCGCAGGGAAGCCGUUAAGUUUGCCGCCUGGGAAGUACGUACGCAAGUAUGAAACUUAAAGGAAUUGGCGGGGAGCACCACAAGGGGUGAAGCCUGCGGUUCAAUUGGAUUCAACGCCGGAA
rnacentral:rRNA from 1 species